rnacentral:rRNA from 1 species
UGGGGAAUAUUGGACAAUGGGCGAAAGCCUGAUCCAGCCAUGCCGCGUGUGUGAAGAAGGUCUUCGGAUUGUAAAGCAAUUUAAGUUGGGAGGAAGGGCAUUAACCUAAUACGUUAGUGUUUUGACGUUACCGACAGAAUAAGCACCGGCUAACUCUGUGCCAGCAGCCGCGGUAAUACAGAGGGUGCAAGCGUUAAUCGGAAUUACUGGGCGUAAAGCGCGCGUAGGUGGUUUGUUAAGUUGGAUGUGAAAUCCCCGGGCUCAACCUGGGAACUGCAUUCAAAACUGACUGGCUAGAGUAUGGUAGAGGGUUGUGGAAUUUCCUGUGUAGCGGUGAAAUGCGUAGAUAUAGGAAGGAACACCAGUGGCGAAGGCGGCCACCUGGACUAAUACUGACACUGAGGUGCGAAAUCGUGGGGAGCAAACA